CUCUGUAAAAGAACAUUUAAAAAAACCACGUCGUUAAAUAAGAUGAUCCAUUAUCGAGUAAUAUGUUUAAAAUAACAAUCAGUCAAAUUUGUCAGAACGUUUGUUGAUCGGUCGGCUGACGAAAUGGAACAUUUAUACGACUGGUUGAGCAUUUCUUUGAGCCUUUUGGCGUCGAAAAGAGACAAGGAGCACUUAAUAUGGCCUCAAUUUUUAUUUCCCCCUGGAAGCUCGUCAACGUGAAAUCGACCCCGCUGGGCAGUCUACUAGGUAAUUGACGAUCCAUCAUCCAUGGCGACGCCUUUGGCUCAUCGUCGCGCUGCGUUUCGUCACUGCCGUGAGUGAGCGCCACCCAUCGUUCCACGUAAUACCCUAGACUCAGUCCGAUGGGAAUCUAACGGGGUUUCAGGUUAUAUGUCUUCUCAGAAUGAGGAUGUAGCGUUACGAAAAGAGCUGCUUCUUGAUUUAAGAAUAAGAAAAAAAGCCCCCCAUGGAUGGACGCACUAUGACUCUGACCUGAUUUACAUCCGCGCUCAAUCUUAAAUGGCCAAUGCGAUCGGCAACAGUCUGUUAGAUGCCGCGUGCACAUUUUAGCAUAGCAUCUCCAUAACGCAGCUGUUCUCUUUGGAAUCUGUUGCAAUCCGUGCGUGAAAAAUCUCGUUUGCGGACGGAAAGAAGGACACCAGCAAUAGCCGAGAGCACAGCUGGCCAAAGAUAUUCAGCGUGAAUGUCUCUAGGUGCGAGCGAGCGCGCGCGCGCGUUCACUCGAACGAAUGAAGAACAACAACAUCAGCAAAAGGCCAAAAAUGUUCCGUUACAUUCUGGCCUCUUGUGUCGAUUCGGAUGUUACUAAAGCAUCUAGCCCGCUCUUAUUUUUCUUUUCUUUUCUUCAACUGUCGGAAUUACAAAUAUUUCGAGCAUUGCGUAACCUGUGCACUUCACGCUCAGCGAGCUCUUUCAAUUUGGAAUGGAAUUAAUAGCUCCGUCGGAUGGUUGUUGUUGUUGUUGUUCCUUUAAAUAAUUCCAAGCUACAAAUUGUUGUUAUUUUAAACGAGAAGAGGCCAAUUUCCGUGUAGGCGGUAUUAUAUUCUAAAUGGAAUUUUUUAAAAAAGAGAAUUAUAAUUUUCUGUGUCUCCGGUAGAAACCGCAAGAUGUUGCAAACUGUACCCGGGCCCCGACCUUAGACCCUAGAACCGUUCCCCAGUGAUGAUUCUUUUUUUGCUGCACAUCGGACGCCAAGUUUUAAAAAAAGAAACGAAAAUCCUUUGACGUAUAUCUACGGUUUGAAGGUCGCGACUUGGUAGCGUGUGAACUCCGUCCACUUAUUACUGAUCCCGUUGUCUGCAUGUCAAUCGAUAAUUAACCUUCUUCUUCUAGCUCUCUCACUGCAAUCCCUUGUAAUAAGUGAGUCUGACUUAUUUCAUUACGUCAAGUCAUCAAGCUUCACCGCCGUGUCUAUGCGUAGUAGACAACAUUGGUUUUCAUUAACGGUAGUUAACUUUGAGUCUAUGUGCAUAUAACAUGCUUCGCUAGUUCGCCCACACGACGACAGCAGUUCUUCCGGGUCUCUUUUUAGGAUGAGAGCGCAAUCAAACGGGACAAAUAGUCUCGGGUAAUCUAAAUAGACAACGAGCGGCAAGGUGAGAAAACUAUCGGGAUUGCGGGAGCGAUGAGAACUUCCCUGGAUGGACGGCAGCAGCAGCAGACCGAUGGACCCAGGAGCCAGCCAGCGAGAGGAAAAAGCAACGGGACAGCAGAUGUUGUUGCUGUUUGGCCGCACGGCGUUUUUCAACGGUUAUUUAAUAUAUGUAUACAGCCGUGUAUACUCUACUACUAUCUAUCAGCAGCGCAACCGGUUCUUCUUCUUUCGCAUAACUGGAGGGCUGCCCGUGGACACGUAAGGUGGAAUUUGUAGCGGCAUUCAAUCACCUAGAGCUAUGGCUCGUAUAUGUGCAAACGUAAAUCAUAUCAUUUUGUAGAUGCACGCUCUAAUUGGUCCGCCAGAUGGCCCAGGAAACUGCUGAGAACUCUUUGAAGACGGCUAGAUUUUUGCAGAAGGAAAAGCCGGUGCAAGCAGGUCAAAACAAAGGAAUUAUAACCGGCUCAUCAGCCGUUAAACUGAUUAGGUAUAACCUUCGCCUACGCUCACCUAUAAUUUUUGUUUUUCAAAAAUAACCAAAAGGUUUUGUGUGUUUACAUCAUUUUGAAAUGAGAAUCACGUCAUCGCGUCGGGGUCGACUACUAAUAAUAAAAAAAAGAAGUGAUGUGCCCCGUCAUCAGAUCGACCUAGUGGCCCUUUCCACAGUGAAACCACCAGACCAGCAAAGGACGCGUACGAUAUUACGUGCCCGGACACGACCGAUGGCAUUCCAUUCGAUUGCACGACGCUCCUGACUGAGCCGCCUGGUACAUCCGUAAUGUGUGAACGGGUUGAAUCCGUUAUCUUCCGCAUUCAUCAGCGUAUGCAAUAUAGGAAGAGAGGG